GCAUUGCCUUCAAAAUACCGAAGUAUCCAAUCUUAAGCCACACCAACAGCACUGCUUUCAAUACCGAAGCACAUUUGAGUGCCUUCGAGAAACGCUCCCUUAAAUAAUUAUGGAGGAUGAUGAAGAAGAGGAACCAUAAUCAUUCUCUAAACUAUGUGGCUAAAGCUUUUCACUCCCUUAUACACGUGAAUCUGUUUGGUAUGUUUCCAUGGCUGACAUUGUUGAUAGGAAUGGACCGGAAUUUUUUGGAAUUUAUCGUCAGUGCAAAAAUAGAUAGUAGUGGUUAGAGGAAGCAACGGACUUCUAUUGAGUUACUCCUUGUAAUGGGGAGGGGCCACAUCAGCCUUAAGGUGAUGAUCUUUAGCUUUGGCAACCAAUGCCGCAUUCUUGCUGGUAGCUAUAUUCGCGGCUACUGCAAUUUGUCCUUCCCAAUUUGUUCCACGAACCAGCUCCGCCACGAAAAGCAAUUCCUCGUAUUGCUCCACAAAUAUGCUAUCCAUUUCUAGCAGGUUCUUCUUACGCAAGGCGAUCUCUUCUGCCACCUUCUCACUGGCUUUUCCCUUCAAUUUUGGAAGUCGUGUCAGUGCCUUCUUUUUCGUGACGGAGCUAGUUCCACGAAAAAGAAGGCACUGACACGACUUCCAAAAUUGAAGGGAAAAGCCAGUGAGAAGGUGGCAGAAGAGAUCGCCUUGCGUAAGAAGAACCUGCUAGAAAUGGAUAGCAUAUUUGUGGAGCAAUACGAGGAAUUGCUUUUCGUGGAGGAGCUGGUUCGUGGAACAAAUUGGGAAGGACAAAUUGCAGUAGCCGCGAAUAUAGCUACCAGCAAGAAAGCGGCAUUGGUUGCCAAAGCUAAAGAUCAUCACCUGAAUGCUGAUGUGGCCUAUCCCCAUUACAAGGAGUAACUCAAUAGAAGUCUGUUGCUUUCUCUAACCAUUCCUAUCUAUUUUUGCGCUGACGAAAAAUUCCGGUUUUCUUAAUAUCCACAUUGAGACUGGAAAUGUAAGGAUUUAUUUAUGGACUCUGCAUCUGAUUGACACUUUGCUUAGACCCGCUACUGAAAAUUGCCUGAGUUAAAAUUUGAAAGAGCAGUAGAGAAACAUAGCAGUGUGAUAGUUCAAUUCUACUGAACAAGGUAAUGUCAUCAUAUGCAUAUCCCCUUCAACUCAAUCUAAUCUUUUAUCAUACAUGAAAGCUUAGUACAGGCAUAACAAAAUCUGAUUGACUUUAUUGUAUAACCAACUCACUAAUUGGACGAAAAUAUAUAUUUUAGUGUCAAUCAAUGCAAGUUGAAUUUGUCUCCAAUAGUUUUCAGGACAGACUGACUGAAAAUUACAAACAUGAAUAAGAUUUCAUUUUCAUCUGCAACAAAUUGCCAUGUACAUUACAUAUACCUAGAGGAUAAUCCACUUGCUAUAGCAAGCAUCUGUCCCCUCUUUUCUUCUUGCUCUUCUGGCUAAUUUUUUAGGGAGGGAAACCUAUCAUAUGUGUAUUUGGCACCUGAUCCUAAAAUCCAUAGAAAAUGAGGAAAAAAUUAACACCAUCUGAAGCU